GCUGAGGUAGUGGCUGAGAGGAUCUGAUUUCGCCUACAUUCAAGGCUAAAUUUGCAGCCUGACUAGCAACUAUGUUAUUAUUGUUUUCCACUAUUCUGGUUCCCACAAGUCCAUUGUUUCGAUUUGGCUGCUGAAACCCAAGAGUUAAACCAGUACUGUUGUUACUGUUAUUAUUGCCGUUAUCAUUUAGACGGGAUAAUUCAUCAAAGAAUCCGCUAUUAUUUGGCCUUCCAAUUAGCUGAGUAUCCUCUCUCACAACCCCUGCCCUGGCCAAGAAUUCCUCCAAAGUCAUCUCUCCCAAAGUCUGUUGGCUCUGAGGCAUAUUUGAUCCCAUGUUGCUCCCAUCUUUAG
rnacentral:misc_RNA from 1 species